AUUUUCUUACGUGAGGCAGCAGUGGGGAAUCUUUGACAAUGGGCGCAAGCGUGAUCCAGACAUGCCGCGUGAGAGAUGAAGGCCUUAGGGUCGUAAAGCUCUUUCCCCAGGGAUGAUAAUGACAGUACCUGGUAAAGAAACCCCGGCUAACUCUGUGCCAGCACCCGCGGUAAUACGGAGGGGGUUAGCGUUGUUCGGAAUUACUGGGCGUAAAGCGUACGUAGGCGGAUCAUUAAGUAAGGGGUAAAAUCCCAGGGCUCAACCCUGGAACUGCCUGUUAAACUCCCGGUCUUGAGUUCGAGAGAGGGGAGGGGAAUUCCGAGUGUAGAGGUGAAAUUUGUAGAUAUUUGGAGGAACACCAGUGGCGAAGGCGGCUCACUGGCUAGAUACUGACGCUGAGGUUUGAAUGUGUGGGGAGCAAACACGAUAGAUACCCCGGUAGUCCCCCCCCCCUCAUGAAUUCCAGUCGUCGGGUAGCAUACUUUUCGGUGACACACCUAACG
rnacentral:rRNA from 1 species